rnacentral:lncRNA from 1 species
CUUUGGAGCCUUUCCUGGAACUCACUCUGUAGACCAAACACCAACCAGGCUGGCCUCAAACUCACAGAGAUCCACCUGCCUCUGCCUCCUGAGUCCUGGGAUUACAGGUGUGCACCACCACUGCCUGGCUUCACUGGUUGAUCUUCAACUGUAUUUCGGAAGUGAAGGUCUUCACCCUUGAUAUGGCUGAGAGAUGGAGGAUGCUCUGGCUUCUUUCUCAGUCACAGAUUCUAAGCAGCUUUAAAACUCACUGCCAUGGGGGAUAGGCUGGCCCCAGAUCUCUCCAGAUUUGAGGGUUGGUAAUGGAGAAGUUGGAGCUCCCCAGCAGCUCUGGGAUGAUGUAUCCAUUUGGCAAUAGGUUAGAGUAGAUGGCCAGUGUGAAGAUGGGGAUCCAGCCUCAUGGAGGAGGGCAUUUGCAAGUAAGCAAGCCUUCAGGAAGGACGUCUGACGUGGCUACUUCCCUGCCAGUCCCAUCAUGGGUCUCCUUCCUAGGCAGACACAGAUCCCUCCAACUUUCAUCUGAUGGUACUGUACAGCAAGCUUCACAGAGCCUCCUAAAACCUCUACAAACCAAUUUCCAGUUAUCUUACACUCAGUGGGAUCAUCCAGGAAGCUCCCCGAAGAGUGUCCUCACUGCACAGACAUAGGGCUGUCUACACUGCAGUAGGACAGCAUGAGUCCCAGCCCCUCCAUUCUCUUCUUCCGAAGGGGCUGAAAAUAAGUGACCCGGUAACAAAACCAC